CGCUUACCAUCAACAAAGAGUCAAAGUGGAGUAAAGAUGUUUUCAGAUAAGUAAAGUCUUCAGAAAGUAGUUUCUCUGCACUGAUUCUUGAGAUACUUGAGAGUGUGUUCCUCCAAAAUGAGGAAAUAAACAAGAAAUGGGGAAAUGCAAGAUCCAAGAAACAGGAUUUCCAACGCAGGAGAGGAGUGGAAGGACUAUCCAGAAGGACUGAGGGGAAAUGCCAGAGAGACACUGUGUAGCACAUCUAGGAAGCAUCCAGUCCAGAUGAGAGCAGGAACCCAGAGGGCUCCAGAAGUGUCUCCAGAAAAACUUGAAACAGAGAGCACUUGACAUGUUUGAACCUAAGUUCUCAGAGAAGACUCAGCCCUUAAGUGAAGUCUAGAGGAUGCUUGUCCUUGGAAGCCAGCCAUUGUGCUGCAAGAAAGACUGGGUUACACAGAGAGGCCCAUGUGGAGAGAAACUGAGGCCCCUAGCCAUCAGCCCCAGCUGAGCUCCCUGCCGACAUGGAGCAUCAACUUAUUAGCCAGUGAACAAUCAUGAGAAAGUUCUAAAAGUUGAGCUCCGCAUGUUCAAAUGCCAGCAUUUGCCCAGGACCUCAUCCAAGACAAAGCCUACCACUAUCACAGGGCGGAGGAAGUGCACAAGGUCUUGGGUUCAUGCCAGAAUCAGAGUAAGGGAGCCUAUUUUCAACCGAGGAUCUUCCUCUGGCCUCUGAAGUCUGACCUAGACGCUUACCCUGGCCUUGGCAACGUGGUACCAAGCGACUAGAGUCCCACUGGGCUGCUUCCCCCUCACUGUGACUCUUACGUCCCAAAGUUCUUGUUACUGAAGCCCAAUUUCCAGGAACUGGCUCUGAUCUGAUUCAUGGGCUGCACAUAAGCUGCACAUUUCAGAUGUGUGAUGUGGUCCCAAUCUCGUCUUCCGUGGGUACCUCUGAAGUUUGGUGCUGCAUUCAGAGGGCGAGGGGUGGAGCCAAACUGUGUUGGCUCGUCUUCCACAGCUUGGAAUUUCCUAGCUAUGUGACCCUGGGGAAGUUACUUAACUCCUCCAUGUUCUCAGUUUCUUCAUCACAGGCUCGUUGUGAAGGUUAAAUACAUCAAUACAUGUAAACUGCUUUGAACCUUGCCAGGUACACAAAAUGCCAAAUUAACAUCGACUGUUAUUAUGCUUCAGCCACAUUGGCCUCCUGUUACCUACAAUACACCAUACUCCUCUCUACCUCAGAACUUUCACACAUGUGACUCCUCUCUACCUGGAAUCUUCCUUGCUCAUUCUUUUCCUUCAGGUCCCAAGUUAAACGGCACUUUGUCAGGGAGGCCAUUCCUGACCCAUCCAAGUUCCAGGUUAAGUCUCUUCUAAUACGUUCCUGUAACUCCCUGCAUAUCAGCCCAAUACUAAUCACAUUUGCAAUUUCUUGUUCAAUGACCAUCUUUCAGGCUAGACUACACACUCCAAAGGUAAGAAGGGGAUGCAUUUGUCUUAUUCAUUCUUGGACACCCAACACCCAGCACAGAGAUUACAAAUAAAUAUUUACAGGGUAAAUGAACCAACGGACUGUAAAGAGGGAAUUGGAGAAGGUUCGUGGAGGUGACAGUCCCAGACUUUGGGACAAGGUUACAUCCAAUAAUAAAAUUAAAAGACACAAAAUAAAGUAGAUUAGAUUAGCCACCUGGAGACCAGACAGCAAAUGAGUGGUUAGGGAGAUGGAGAAACAUCUAAGGCCCAGACAGGUUCGCCAGGAUGUACUGGCCUUUAGCGUUAGUUCUGCAAAACAAGGGAGCAGAAAGCUCAGCGGUGCAUUGAAUAAUAUUUUUGCCACCUGUAAGAAAUCAUCAUGGCAUGUAUCCCCAAAGCCUCCCUCUCCAAAGGGAGCAGAGGAUCCAAGUUGCCUGGAUAAUGUUAGUAACGCCUCCUUUUGGUACAUGCCUGAAGAACAGUGGUUCUCCCAUGAUGUUGCUUUUGCUCACUUCUUUAUUUGGCUGAGGGUGGGAGGAGCCAAGUAGGUUAGCAACACAUGCCCAAGAAGGAGGAGAGAGGAAAAGAUGUGUUCAUGGCUAGCACACAGCCCCUUCCUUCCCCUAAUCCUCCUUCAGAGUAGAACAUAGCUCAGCAUUAAAUAUUAAAUAAGUGAACUUGCUCAGUGCUCCAAUCACCCACAGCACAGCUUCUACAACACACUCACACAUUUCGAAGCCUCCUAAUUAACCAGAGGAAGCUAGAACUUCAUGGCGUUGUAGACAGCUCUAACGAGCUUGUUUUACAGGAGUUAAAGAAAUGUGUUGAUUGGAAAGUCGGGAGCACUAACGAUAAAAGACAAUGGACCCAAUACAUGGAGGCCAUUCUGUCUGUCCUGGAAGGAGAAAGAAGUUAGGGAAGUAAAGUUGGUCUACUGGGAGACUGGUGCCUUUCUCCAGAAUGACAGCCUCAAAACUGACUUCAUCGAACUGUCUUUACAGACUCUUAUUUGGGCAGAUCAGGAAGGUCCCUACACCUGCGUUCUAGCUUUGGUUUCUCAGACUCUGCCAGGUGGGACAGGUCCUGAGGAGCGAUGGGACGAGGAGUGCAGGGAGAAAGGGAGCAGAGAGGCCUGUGACAGCCUUCAUGCCCGUGCAGAGAGGAGAGAAUCCGUCCCCCUUGUUUCUUCACAGUGGGAAAGAAGGGAGAAAGAUCUGCAAAUUAAUCCAUUGUGACAACCUUUGUGAAGAACCUCACUGUUUGAUCUUGAAAAGAUUUCAUAAUUCUUUUGAUGGCUUUGAGAAGAGAAGGGGUAAAAAGUUAACUUCCUUUUGGAUUCUCUUAUCAAGAGUAAAUAAAGUUCAACUUUGCAUGUUCUCUAGUUAGCAAGCUCCCCUUCCUGGGACCCAGAGAUCAAGUUUGUGAUUGAGAGAAUUCAAUAAACAUGAGGAAAUGUGACCCAUUUGGGAACAAAGAUCCCAAUGUGCUCAUCUCCAAAGGGAAUCUGACUCUCCCCUGAAACUGUCAUAAGCCUCGGCCAGAGAAAUAUUCCCACCUCUGCAGGCAGGCGCUGAGCAGUUGGGUGAGCCGGGCCUGACCCUAGGAUUGCAGUAUGCUUCCCUUUCCAAGAAAAUGACCUGGGCAGGAAGACGAGAUAAAUGAAGCCCCCGAUGAAUGAGCAAAGGGAAGUUAGCUGGCUUUCCAAACUGGGUUCUGCCAGUGUCCCUCUAAGUGACCUUGUCUAAAUUAUAUCUUCUUUCUAGGCCUCAGGUUCUCAUUCUGUACAAUGGGAUAACAACUUCACUCUUACCUUACUCACUGGUUCAGCAUUCAAGAUGCCAACAUUUCACCUGCCAUCAAGCUACACAGCUGCAAGCUACCAGCUUCUAAACAGAGGGCUCUGGCCUUCGGUCCCAGGUGGUACAGUAUCAAAUGACUGGUAUUUCCACUUGGUGCUUGCCUGAAAAAGGAAGUAAACUGGGGCUGGCGCCAUGGCGUAGUGGUUAAGUUCGUGCACUCUGCUUUGGUGGCCCACGGUUCACAAGUUCUGAUCCUGGGCAUGGACCUAGCACUGCUUAUCAAGCCACGCUGUGGCAGCAUCCCACAUAAAGCAGAGGAAGACUGGCACAGAUAUUAGCUCAGCCACAAUCUUCCUCAUGAAAAAAAGGAAGUAAACUUUUUAUUCAAAUAGCCUAUAAAAAGACAAAAUAUUUCCAAUAAAAACUGUAAAAAUCUUUUAAAUUUUAUCCUCGGUAUAUGCAUUAUCUACUCAGAAAUAAUUAUUUAUAUUUUGAAAAUGUAAGCAACAAUUUGGGAGCUUUUCUACUAAUUUUUAAUGUGUUGUGUGUCAAAGUUUAACUGUAUGCAUCUAUUUUGAUUAGAUUUGUCUUUCGUCAUUUAUCAGCAUUCUCUUCCUUUAUAAUCAAUAAUCUUCCCCAAGACCUUGUACACUCCAGGGGCUUCUACUGCCCCAUGUGGUGGAAUGUUCCUUCCACUCUUCUUCCGUCGGGGUCUUUACCUGUUAGCAAAAUGGUCUCUUCUUAGCUUUUGUACACUGAGAGAAAGAAAGGCUUGCUUUUACUUUUGUAAGUUUCUGGCUCUCAUCUCCUGCUUCCUCAUAUAUUAUAUUCAAUUCAGUUCAAUUUAACCAACAUUUAUUGAGCCCCCAAUAUGUACCAGGAACUUCGCUGGCACUGGGGGCUUCCAAGAUGCGUCAGGCACAGCCCAGCCUUCCAGGUGCUGAUAGCCUGGUGGAGGAAGUGUCUAUCACAGACCAUUCGUCCAGCUGAAAGGGCUUUUGGCAUCACUUCCUAGAAAUCCCUUCAUUUUACAGAUGCUGUUACUAAGAUCCAGCAAGCGAAGUGACUCACCCAAGUUCUACCUUCCCAAUGGCCGAGGAAGGACCGGAGUUUAAGUCCCAUGGUUCAGAGUCUAGGGUUUGUUCCACCAUAUGCUAGUAGAGGAGUGAAGACAGAAAGAAAAAUAAAACAAAAAUCCUCUGCUGUUGCUCUACCUAGUAAGGAGAGAAAUGUGACACGAAUCUCUGUUCUAUAGAUCUGAUAAUCAGGAUAAAUCACUAAGAAGUAAUUUAAAAAUGCAUAAACUUUUUAAACUCAAUAUUUCAUAACCUAAAAAUUUGUAUAUGACAUUUAGGAACUUUGACACUAUUUGAUCCAGGCAAAUAUUUAAUUCUCCUAAUCCCACUAUUUCCUGCCUUAUAACCCUCUUCAUUUGUUCUUAAAGUUGAAUGUAACUCUAAGUCAGGGAUCUAGCCAGAUUCAACCUUUUCUGGUUUGAAAAUAUUUUUAAUCUUAGGUUGCAAACAUUAUAAAUUACUUAUUUUUUUAUUUUACUUACUAUUUUAUUGAGAUAUAAUCGAUAUAGAAAAAACUGCACAUAUUUAAUGUAUACAAUUUGAUGAGUUUAGUCAUAUGCAUACGCCCAUGACACCAUCACCAUAUCCAUCAUCUCCAAAAGUUCCUUAUGUUCCUUUUUUUGGUUUGUUUUUUGUAGUAAAACACUUAGUAUGAGAUCUACUCUCUUAAAACAUUUUCAGGUGCACAAUACUGUAUUGUUAACUACCGGUACAAUGUUGUACAGCAGAUCUCAAAAGUUUACUCAUCUUGUAUAACUGAAACUUUAUACCAACUGAAUAAUAAUUCUCCAUUUCCCCCACCCCCAAGCCCCUGGUAACCACCAUUCUCUUCUCUGCUUCCGUGAGCUUGACUAAUUUAGGUACCUCAUAGAAAUGAUAUUAUGCAGUAUUUAUCUUUCUGUGCCUGGCUUAUUUCAUUUAGUGUAAUGUCUUCUAGAUUCAACCAUGUCGUUGCAAAUGGCAGGAUUUCCUUUUUUUAAGGCUGAAUAAUAUUCCAUUGUGUGACUAUACCAUAUUUUCUUUAUCCAUUCAUCUGUGAGUGGACAUUUGGGUUGUUUCCAUAUCUUGGCUAUUGUGAACAAUGCCGCAAUGAACAUGGGAGUGCAGCUAUCUCUGUUUUCAUUUCCUUUUGGCUAUAUACCCAGAAGUGGGAUUGCUGAGUCAUAUGGUAGUUCUAUUUUUCAUUUUUCUAGGAACCUCCUUACUGUGCUCCGCAGCAGCAGCACCAUUUUACAUUCUGACCAACAGUGUAGAAGGGUUCCAAUUCCUCCACAUCCUCACCGACACUUGUUAUCUUCUGUUUUUUGACCACCUUAACACCUGCAUGUCCUUUCCUCUUAUCUGCACGCUAUUUCCAGGUUGUUCUGGAGGGAAGCCUAACUAACCUGCGAUCCCUACCUCAUAUCAGCACACUGAGGACAGAAACACCUCUUCUGUUUCCUGAAGUUGUCUUCUACCAUAUCUACCACUUUACGCAGAGUCCUUUCCUUAAAGAUCUAGACUUUUCACCAGGCUGGAAUUUUAAAGCACCAGCCAGCCAGCCUUGGUCUCUCAAGGGGCUGCUUCUGCUGACCCAUCUCAUGUGCUCCUGUUUAGAAUUACCUCACCCCAGGAGCCCAGAAGUGAUCUCAGAAGGUAUGAAACACCUUUAAGGGACUUGUUUAAAAACCUUUUGUCUACAUAAAUUCAGAGCAAAUAAUAGCCUAUUCCACAAAUGUCAUGAGGCCUUAGAGAUUAUCUCUUCCAAUUACAGGCAAGACAACUAAAGCUCAGAGAGGUGAAAUAAAUUGUCCAAAAGCAUGUAGCUACUUGAUGACAGAACUAAAUUUAGAAUUUAAGUUUCUUGAAGACCCCUGCAAUGCAUUUUCAAAUAUAUUAUAUUUCUAUUCAAAUUAGAAAUACAUAAGUAGUAAUGAAUUACUAAUAAACACUUAAUGAGUACUAGAAGGCAAAAGGUUCUGGGUUAUGUGCUAUGGAGGAUACAAAAAUGAAUAAGAUGCACUUCCCAGCCACUAGGGGCUCACAGCCUAGGAGAGGAGAGAGAAGGCACUACAAUUCAAGGCAGCUUUCAAAAAACUGCACUAUUUGAGAUUAAGCAGUAAAAGGUUGGGAGAGAUGAGAAAGGGAGUAAUUUUGAUUCCAGAGGUUUAGGAAACCCAGUGGAGAAGGCUUGUUUUGAGCUGAGCCUUGAAGGAUGAGUAGAAUUUUGAUGGAGGGCGUUCUAGAGGAGCAGGACACAGCCACAGAGGCAGAUGGGUUUCUGAGCUCUCCUCAGAUUUCACUAGUUAAUUAGGGAGGGUGGCAUCUGAAUUUUAGUGACUGGGUGCAAGGUUCGGCAUUCUGGGCUGGGCUUAAAAAUCUAGCCUCUGAUCCAUAGCCAAGAGUAGUAUAGGCCACAGAGUUUACUGAUUGCUCAAAAACCUAGAUUGUCUGGGUUCAUAUCCCAUCCCCAUCACUUACUAGCAGUAUGACUUUGUGCCUCUCUCUGCCUCAGUUUCCUCAUCUGUAAAGUGGAGCUUAUAAUAUUAUCUACCUCAUAAGCUUUUUGUGAGAAUUAAGUUAGUCAAUACAGGUAAAGUGCUUAGAACAAUGUCUGGGAUGCAGUAAGGGCUAGAUAGGUGUUUGUUAAAACAGUCCAAUCUGGCUGAACACAGUAGGUUGUUUCAGAUCAAAGAUUCUCUGUAGAGGCAGAGAAAAACUGUGAAGAGUCUCUACUCUGCUACUCAAAUAAGAAGGAGAAGAAAAAUACCUUAGUACCAAAUUCUGUGAUGAAUUUACAAAAAAAAUGCUUGGGGUAGAGUGUCCUUUGUCAUUGCCCCAAUCCCCUGUCUCACCUCUGCCAGCAGAUCCCAGACACGUGAGGUGACCCCCUGUGAUGCUCCUCACCCUAAGAUGAUGAGUUUGGCCUUACCCGGAAUUACAGUCUGUUCUUAGUAAUGCACUGAAAUCACAUGGGAGCUCGAUUCUCCAUGGCUCAGAAUAGAUCCUGACCUCGCUGUGGGCUCCCUGCGCUAAUGGUUUCAUGUAUUCCAGAUUGCAUUACUACCAGGAAUCGAUUUUUCAGCUCUUUAAAAACAGCCUAUUUUGGUCAUCUUUCCCCUAUUCUUAGAGAUGUAUUUAUUUCCCAGAAUGUGUAGUGACUCUUAGACAAAAUAAAUUCUGAUUACUGAAGUGGAAGCAAUCCAGUUGUCAGGGAAGCUGGAAGGUUUACCUUGGGAAAUUCUUUUGUAGGUCAAAGCAAAGGAAAUUUAUUUCUCUAACUUGGAGGCCCAAAGCGAAACAAGCAAUGUAAGAUUCAACUGAAAUUUGAGAACUUCUAUAAACGAUGUCAGGUAUAUAGAGCACUACAGUUUAUACAGUGGCGCUAUCCAAUAUGGUAGCCACUAGCCACAUACAGCUAUUAGGCACUUGAAAUGUGGCCGAGGUGAUUAAAGAAAUGAAUUUCUAAUUUUAUUUAAUUUUAACUAAUUUUAAUUUAAAAACUAAUAUGAGUCAGUCACUAAAAAACUUUUUAAGUUUGGGAAAGUUGAGGGAUAUAAGUCUACUUAAUCAACUAUAGAUAUUAUGUAAUCUAAAUACAGAUCAAGUAUAUCUGAUUAAUAUUUAGCAUCCAAAUUGAGAUUUACUGUAAGUGUAAAAUACACUGGAUUCAUAAACUUAGUAUAAAAAAAUGUAAAAUAGCUCCUUAAUACUUUUUUCAUAUUGAUCACAUGUUGAAUUGAUAAUAUUUUGGUUGUGUUGGGUCGAAUAAAAUAUGUCAUUAAAAUUAAGUUCACUGGACUCUUCUUACUUUUAUUUAAUGUGGCUUAGAAAAAUUUAAAUUACUUUUGUGGCUCACAUUAUAUUUCUAUUGGACAGCACUAUUACAGAGCAACACCAACCCAUUUGUUCCUUACUACAGUCCCGUGACUUGGUCAAAACAGGUAUUAUUAUCCCUGUUUAAAAGAUAUGGGAACAAAAGUUGAGGUAGUGGCAGCUCACCAAGCCUUGGAAUGAGAGCCAGAGCCUGACUCCAGGGCUUCUGACUGAAAUCCAGGGCCCUUCCAGUGCACUGUGUUAGUUUGAAACUACAGAUGAAACAUAAGAAAGGCCUCUUGGACUCUUAAACUCAACCUGUUAAUUCUGAACCUAAGCAACGAAAGGGAGGCAAACAAGCCUUAAAAGAACAACAUAUCCUAAGCAAAGAUCACAAGAGCAUGCACACACACACAGACACUUGUACCAUGUAUACUGCAUUUAUUAGAACAACUAUCAGGAAUGAUCAAUUACCAGGCAACUAUAAACUGAACAGCUACCAGAACUCACACAAGACUGGAAGACAUACAGAUUCCAUUCAGACAAGUAAGAGACAUCAUUAAACACUUAAAGAAUUCCAUAGAGACACAGCAAAGGUCAUGUCACCCUAGAGUAAAGGCUCCAAAACCACCCUAACAAAGCUUAAAAAUAAGCCUCACAGGACCAAGCUGAUGCAGAAGUAAAUUAACUGCCUGUCAGAACGAAGCCCAACACUGUUUAAAUAAAGCCAACAAAAUCUGGACACUUUAUAAGUAGAAUCUAAAUGUCUCACAUCCAAUUGAGAAUCACUAGACAUAUGGAGAAGCAGGCAUUAGAAACAGAUCUAGAAAUGACAUAUAUGUUGAAAUCAGUAGAAAACCCUCUACAACAAAUAUUAUAAAUAUGUCCAAGAAUUUAAAGGAAAACAUGAACACAAGGGAAACUUCAUACUGCUUGUGGGCAAAAGUCGAGAAAAGAUUCAUCUAUAGUGAUAGAAGGUAAAUCAGUGGUUACCUAAAGGUGCUGACAGGAGAUUGACUGGAGUGGAGCUCCAGAGAUUUUUUUUUUUGAGUGAUGGAAUAUUCUGUAACUUGGCUGAGGUGGUGAUUAUACUCAACGUUCAUCAAAAUGUACACAUAAAAUGGGUACAUUUUAUUAGAUAUGUAAAUUAUAUUUCCAAAAGAAGUUGAUUUAAAAUACUCCAAAAAUAAAUAAAAAUAGGCAGAGGAAAAUAGAGGAGGGUGUGAAUGGCCCCAGAUUAGCCAUGAGUUGGUCAUUUUGGAGGCUGGAUGAUGGUUACAUGGUGAUUUGCUAUAUUGUUCCAAAUUUCCUAUAAUCAAAAAAAAAGUUUUUUUUUUUAAAAAAAGAGGAGAAAUAGGCUUCUGGUUCUGUCUGAGGGAAUAUAAUAUUGCAGGUGAUUUGUUUUUAACCUCUCCGUAAGUCUUUUCUCUUUCUAAAAAUUUAUUUAUUUUUAUUUUACAUCCUCAAUCAUCCUUUCAUUUUCACUACCUCCUCGUAGACACUCACUCAAAGUGGUUCACAUCUUUGGAUAUUUAUCUUUGAAUAUUUAUCAAUAUUAUCAAUUUAUCAAUAUUAUCUUUGAAAAGCAGUAUUGCCUUUGGUAUAUAUGUAUUUUAAAUUUACAUAUAUUGUGCAAUAGAUCUCAUUCUUUUCCUUUUUGUUUUUGUUUCACUCAACACUAUUUAGAAGCUAUAUGUAUCUUUUCUUCAUUUCAUUAUAAAUAUAAAUGAAUAUUUAUAUUCAUUCCCCAAGUGAAGAAUGUCUCAGUUGCCUCCUAUUCCUCACUUUCACAUAUAUCAAAAAAUGCUUCAAAAAAAAUUUGUACAUGUCUUAUGUAUCUGUGUACUGGUUUUUCUGUGGAAUUUAGCCAGCAGUAGAAUUGCUGAAUUUUAGACUAUAUACAUACCUAAUUUCCAUAGGGACUACUUUCACAAAACUUUCAAAUGGCUUCUCAUCCUAUUCAGAGUGAAAUCCAAAGUUUUCAAAACAUAUACUGCCCUUGUUAUCUGCCCCUAUUUAUCUCUCUUACCUCAUUUCCUCUUAUUCUUCUCUUAACUUCCUCAGCUCAAGUCACAGUAACCUUGCUGUUCCUUCAAUAUUUUAGCAGUGUUCUCAGUUCGGAUCUCUGUGCUUACUGUUAACUGCCUGGGACUCUCUGCUCCAGGAUUUCGUGGUUAAUCCCUCACAGGUCUUUGCUCAAAUGUUUCCUUCUCAGUGAAAUCUUCCCUAGCCGCCAAAUUUAAAAUUGUAACUGUUCCUUUU
ensembl:lncRNA